UACGUAGGGGGCGAGCGUUGUCCGGAUUUAUUGGGCGUAAAGAGCGUGUAGGCUGUUCGGUAAGUCUGCCGUGAAAACCUGAGGCUCAACCUCGGGCGUGCGGUGGAUACUGCCGGGCUAGAGGACGGUAGAGGCGAGUGGAAUUCCCGGUGUAGCGGUGAAAUGCGCAGAUAUCAGGAAGAACACCAAUGGCGAAAGCAGCUUUCUGGGACGGUACUGACGCUGAGACGCGAAAGCGUGGGGAGCGAACAGG
rnacentral:rRNA from 1 species